UGAUGCCUUCCCAUAGCACCGUCCUGUCCUACUUCAACAGUUUGCCGAAAACUUCAUCGUUCGUUGAGAGAGACGAUGGUCAGAUCUACUCACCAAUGUUCUCUGCUGUUCGUUUACAUGGAAUCCUUGAUACUGGGAACAUCCAGGACAUGCAGCUGAUGAAUAUCCUGCCCAGAGAGACCC